CUGGCAGUCAGAGGCGAUGAAGGACGUGCUAAUCUGCGAUAAGCGUCGGUGAGGUGAUAUGAACCGUUAUAACCGGCGAUUUCCGAAUGGGGAAACCCAGUGUGUUUCGACACACUAUCAUUAACUGAAUCCAUAGGUUAAUGAGGCGAACCGGGGGAACUGAAACAUCUAAGUACCCCGAGGAAAAGAAAUCAACCGAGAUUCCCCCAGUAGCGGCGAGCGAACGGGGAGGAGCCCAGAGCCUGAAUCAGUGUGUGUGUUAGUGGAAGCGUCUGGAAAGGCGCGCGAUACAGGGUGACAGCCCCGUACACAAAAAUGCACAUAUUGUGAGCUCGAUGAGUAGGGCGGGACACGUGGUAUCCUGUCUGAAUAUGGGGGGACCAUCCUCCAAGGCUAAAUACUCCUGACUGACCGAUAGUGAACCAGUACCGUGAGGGAAAGGCGAAAAGAACCCCGGCGAGGGGAGUGAAAAAGAACCUGAAACCGUGUACGUACAAGCAGUGGGAGCCUCUUUAUGGGGUGACUGCGUACCUUUUGUAUAAUGGGUCAGCGACUUAUAUUCUGUAGCAAGGUUAACCGAAUAGGGGAGCCGAAGGGAAACCGAGUCUUAACUGGGCGUUAAGUUGCAGGGUAUAGACCCGAAACCCGGUGAUCUAGCCAUGGGCAGGUUGAAGGUUGGGUAACACUAACUGGAGGACCGAACCGACUAAUGUUGAAAAAUUAGCGGAUGACUUGUGGCUGGGGGUGAAAGGCCAAUCAAACCGGGAGAUAGCUGGUUCUCCCCGAAAGCUAUUUAGGUAGCGCCUCGUGAAUUCAUCUCCGGGGGUAGAGCACUGUUUCGGCAAGGGGGUCAUCCCGACUUACCAACCCGAUGCAAACUGCGAAUACCGGAGAAUGUUAUCACGGGAGACACACGGCGGGUGCUAACGUCCGUCGUGAAGAGGGAAACAACCCAGACCGCCAGCUAAGGUCCCAAAGUCAUGGUUAAGUGGGAAACGAUGUGGGAAGGCCCAGACAGCCAGGAUGUUGGCUUAGAAGCAGCCAUCAUUUAAAGAAAGCGUAAUAGCUCACUGGUCGAGUCGGCCUGCGCGGAAGAUGUAACGGGGCUAAACCAUGCACCGAAGCUGCGGCAGCGACACUAUGUGUUGUUGGGUAGGGGAGCGUUCUGUAAGCCUGUGAAGGUGGCCUGUGAGGGUUGCUGGAGGUAUCAGAAGUGCGAAUGCUGACAUAAGUAACGAUAAAGCGGGUGAAAAGCCCGCUCGCCGGAAGACCAAGGGUUCCUGUCCAACGUUAAUCGGGGCAGGGUGAGUCGACCCCUAAGGCGAGGCCGAAAGGCGUAGUCGAUGGGAAACAGGUUAAUAUUCCUGUACUUGGUGUUACUGCGAAGGGGGGACGGAGAAGGCUAUGUUGGCCGGGCGACGGUUGUCCCGGUUUAAGCGUGUAGGCUGGUUUUCCAGGCAAAUCCGGAAAACCAAGGCUGAGGCGUGAUGACGAGGCACUACGGUGCUGAAGCGACAAAUGCCCUGCUUCCAGGAAAAGCCUCUAAGCAUCAGGUAACAUCAAAUCGUACCCCAAACCGACACAGGUGGUCAGGUAGAGAAUACCAAGGCGCUUGAGAGAACUCGGGUGAAGGAACUAGGCAAAAUGGUGCCGUAACUUCGGGAGAAGGCACGCUGAUAUGUAGGUGAAGCGACUUGCUCGUGGAGCUGAAAUCAGUCGAAGAUACCAGCUGGCUGCAACUGUUUAUUAAAAACACAGCACUGUGCAAACACGAAAGUGGACGUAUACGGUGUGACGCCUGCCCGGUGCCGGAAGGUUAAUUGAUGGGGUUAGCGGUAACGCGAAGCUCUUGAUCGAAGCCCCGGUAAACGGCGGCCGUAACUAUAACGGUCCUAAGGUAGCGAAAUUCCUUGUCGGGUAAGUUCCGACCUGCACGAAUGGCGUAAUGAUGGCCAGGCUGUCUCCACCCGAGACUCAGUGAAAUUGAACUCGCUGUGAAGAUGCAGUGUACCCGCGGCAAGACGGAAAGACCCCGUGAACCUUUACUAUAGCUUGACACUGAACAUUGAGCCUUGAUGUGUAGGAUAGGUGGGAGGCUUUGAAGUGUGGACGCCAGUCUGCAUGGAGCCGACCUUGAAAUACCACCCUUUAAUGUUUGAUGUUCUAACGUUGGCCCGUAAUCCGGGUUGCGGACAGUGUCUGGUGGGUAGUUUGACUGGGGCGGUCUCCUCCUAAAGAGUAACGGAGGAGCACGAAGGUUGGCUAAUCCUGGUCGGACAUCAGGAGGUUAGUGCAAUGGCAUAAGCCAGCUUGACUGCGAGCGUGACGGCGCGAGCAGGUGCGAAAGCAGGUCAUAGUGAUCCGGUGGUUCUGAAUGGAAGGGCCAUCGCUCAACGGAUAAAAGGUACUCCGGGGAUAACAGGCUGAUACCGCCCAAGAGUUCAUAUCGACGGCGGUGUUUGGCACCUCGAUGUCGGCUCAUCACAUCCUGGGGCUGAAGUAGGUCCCAAGGGUAUGGCUGUUCGCCAUUUAAAGUGGUACGCGAGCUGGGUUUAGAACGUCGUGAGACAGUUCGGUCCCUAUCUGCCGUGGGCGCUGGAGAACUGAGGGGGGCUGCUCCUAGUACGAGAGGACCGGAGUGGACGCAUCACUGGUGUUCGGGUUGUCAUGCCAAUGGCACUGCCCGGUAGCUAAAUGCGGAAGAGAUAAGUGCUGAAAGCAUCUAAGCACGAAACUUGCCCCGAGAUGAGUUCUCCCUGAGACUUAGAGUCUCCUGAAGGAACGUUGAAGACGACGACGUUGAUAGGCCGGGUGUGUAAGCGCAGCGAUGCGUUGAGCUAACCGGUACUAAUGAACCGUGAGG
rnacentral:rRNA from 1 species